AGGCUCGCCCAAGCAGCACGUACACUAAAACUGCAAUGCUACAGAGAUCAGCAUGGCUCUUGCACAAGGAUGGCACACGAAUUCGUGAAGCACUCCGUGUCUUU